GACGAACGCUGGCGGCGUGCUUAACACAUGCAAGUCGAACGGAAGGGCCCUGCUUUUGUGGGGUGCUCGAGUGGCGAACGGGUGAGUAACACGUGAGUAACCUGCCCUUGACUUUGGGAUAACUUCAGGAAACUGGGGCUAAUACCGGAUAGGAGCUCCUGCUGCAUGGUGGGGGUUGGAAAGUUUCGGCGGUUGGGGAUGGACUCGCGGCUUAUCAGCUUGUUGGUGGGGUAGUGGCUUACCAAGGCUUUGACGGGUAGCCGGCCUGAGAGGGUGACCGGCCACAUUGGGACUGAGAUACGGCCCAGACUCCUACGGGAGGCAGCAGUGGGGAAUAUUGCACAAUGCGCGGAAGCCUGAUGCAGCAACGCCGCGUGCGGGAUGACGGCCUUCGGGUUGUAAACCGCUUUCGCCUGUGACGAAGCGUGAGUGACGGUAAUGGGUAAAGAAGCACCGGCUAACUACGUG
rnacentral:rRNA from 1 species